rnacentral:rRNA from 1 species
UACGGAGGGUGCAAGCGUUAUCCGGAUUCACUGGGUUUAAAGGGUGCGUAGGUGGGCAGGUAAGUCAGUGGUGAAAUCUCCGGGCUUAACCCGGAAACUGCCAUUGAUACUAUCAGUCUUGAAUACCGUGGAGGUAAGCGGAAUAUGUCAUGUAGCGGUGAAAUGCUUAGAUAUGACAUAGAACACCAAUUGCGAAGGCAGCUUACUACCCGAAUAUUGACACUGAGGCACGAAAGCGUGGGUAGCAAACAGG